UGUAGAUCAGUGGUAGAGUGCUUGCCUAGCAAGUAUGAGGCCCUGGAUUCAAACUCCAGCA
rnacentral:tRNA from 1 species